AAAAACGGUCUGGUUUUAGCAGACAGAGUUCGUGAGUUCGUUUUCGAAACAGGAAGCUAUUUUUAUCAGCCGGAGCCAAGAGUUUAAAUAAUAAUCUGGUUGUACCAGAAGUAAGGGCCCCCAACCCGACAUGCAGAGCAGCACUCGUGUGUUUGUUUGUUUCUUUUUUUUUUUUUUUCUUCUUCUAUAAGUACCCUACCAGAAAUCCUGAGGUCUUCACACUAGUGACCUGAAACCAGAGCGAUGACCCUUCAAAGAGAACACGUUUUUGACUUGAUCGACAAUGGGCUUCAUUCAACCGAAUAUCAACUUGAAGAUUUGUACUCAGGCGAGGAAAUAGGUUCUACAAGGGAGAAUGGCAUUCCAUCAGCGCAGGUUGUAGAUCUCACAGGAGAAGUCGAUGGUGCGAGCGAUUGUGAACGGUACUUUAUGCAGGGUCUCUCCCCUACCUUUUACGAGGAGAACGGUC